UCUUUAGUGUUAAUGAAAUGAAACAAAUCCAGAUGUGAAGACUCUUUGCCUGACUCGUGUUUGUCGCAGUGAGCUCGAUUUGAGUUUUGUUGGUUUUAUUUCCGCUGGAAAGUUUUUCGGCCAUCACAUUUACGAGUUUACGACGAGCACCUGAAGGCAGCAUUGCUUCACCCUGGAAGAGUUCGGACAGAUCCCGGACCUCCUCCUGAAGACCUGGACCCAGACUGCAGAAUCCCUCUGAGCUGUUCUGACCUCUGACCUCUCAUCAUGACAUCCACGUCCGUCACCAAAAUCGGCAGAGUGGUGGUCGUCACUCAGGUCAUUCCUCAGGACGAAACCU